rnacentral:misc_RNA from 1 species
UACGAGGGGUGCAAGCGUUAUUCGGAAUAAUUGGGCGUAAAGGGUGCGUAGGUGGCAUUCUAAGUCAACUGUUAAAUCUCCCGGCCUAACUGGGAAUAUGCAGUAGAUACUGGUAUGCUAGAGGGUGGAAGAGAGAAGUGGAAUUCUCGGAGUAGCGGUAAAAUGCGUAGAUCUCGAGAGGAACACCAAUGGCGAAGGCAGCUUCUUGGUCCAUACCUGACACUGAGGCACGAAAGCGUGGGGAGCAAACAGG